GUGCUUGCUUCGGUAGCACAUAUACUAAAAUUGGAACAGUACAUAGAAGAUUAGCAUGGUCCCUGCACAAGGAUGACACACAAAUUUGUGAAGUGUUCCAUAUUUUU
rnacentral:snRNA from 1 species